rnacentral:rRNA from 1 species
AUUGAACGCUGGCGGCAUGCUUUACACAUGCAAGUCGAGCGGUAACAGGGAGCUUGCUCCGCUGACGAGCGGCUAACGGGUGAGUAAUAUAUCGGAACGUACCCAAGAGUGGGGGAUAACGUAGCGAAAGUUACGCUAAUACCGCAUACGAUCUAUGGAUGAAAGCAGGGGACCUUCGGGCCUUGUGCUCCUGGAGCGGCCGAUAUCUGAUUAGCUAGUUGGUGAGGUAAAGGCUCACCAAGGCGACGAUCAGUAGCUGGUCUGAGAGGACGACCAGCCACACUGGAACUGAGACACGGUCCAGACUCCUACGGGAGGCAGCAGUGGGGAAUUUUGGACAAUGGGCGCAAGCCUGAUCCAGCAAUGCCGCGUGAGUGAAGAAGGCCUUCGGGUUGUAAAGCUCUUUUGUCAGGGAAGAAACGGCUGUGGCUAAUAUCCACGGCUAAUGACGGUACCUGAAGAAUAAGCACCGGCUAACUACGUGCCAGCAGCCGCCGUAA